UCCGUAGGCGGUGUGGCAAGUCGGAAGUGAAAUCUCUGGGCUUAACCCAGAGUCUGCUCCCGAAACUGCUAUGCUAGAGUGCGAGAGAGGCGAGUGGAAUUGCGGGUGUAGCGGUGAAAUGCGUAGAUAUCCGCAGGAACAUCCGAGGCGAAAGCGGCUCGCUGGAUCGCAACUGACGCUGAGGGACGAAAGCUAGGGGAGCAAACAGGAUUAGAUACCCUGGUAGUCCUAGCCCUAAACCAUCAGGACUUGGGGUUUGCCCUGUACGGGGCAAGUCCCGUAGCUAACGCGUUAAGUCCUGCGCCUGGGGAGUACGGUCGCAAGGCUGAA
rnacentral:rRNA from 1 species